rnacentral:tmRNA from 1 species
GGGACCGACCUGGCUUCGACGUGGGUACGGAGUCGGCGCGGGGCAUGCCGAGCACCAGUUCGCUCGUUAAUCCACUGGAAACAAAGUAACUGCGAACGAUCAAACGUACGCCCUCGCCGCUUAAAACCGGUGAGCCUCGCAACAGCUGGCCUAUGGGCUGGGUCUGAGGUCGAAAGGCCGAUGACUGCGAGGUCAUUCACAUAGGCUCGUCCCGCAAUGUGUCAUUCAUUGCGGGCCUAAAACCAAAUGACUCGGGGCAACGGUAGCGUGCUGCUGCGCGACCAGCGCUCUUAAAUCCAAACCAGACAGCUACGCAUGUAGAACCGUCCGGCGAUGGCUUGCGGACGGGGGUUCGAUUCCCCCCGGUUCCACCA